CGGAAGCUCAAGUGAAAUCGCGUAUCUGUUGUAGGUGCGCGAAUUGUAGCCUCUAGAGGCGUUACCAGUGGAAGGGCAGGUCCAAGUUUCUUGGAACAGAACUUCAGAGAGGGUGACAGUCCCGUCCUUUGUCCUGCUUGAUAUUUCCACGUACGGUGCGCUUUUAUUGAGUCGCGUUCAUUGGGAUUUGAGCGCAAAAUGUGUGAUAAGUUUCACAUAAAGCUAAAUACUGGCGCGAGACCGAUAGCGAACAAGUACUGUGAAGGAAAGAUGAAAAGGACUUUGGAAAGAGAGUUAAAAGUGCCUGAAAUUGCUGGAAGGGAAGCGAUUGAAACUUUGGUUUCCUUUGGGUGCCGCCUUGUAUGUGUAGCUCAUUUUUGCCAGUUUCCGUUAAAGGGGUUGGUAAAGUAUGUUUGCUACACUAUACUUGGUUGAUCCCAUAGGUUUGGUCAGCAUCAGCAGGUUAUUUGGUGACUAUUUUCCUCAAGGAAGGUAAGCCUUUUGUGGGCUGUUAUAGCCUUGAGUUACAUGUUCACGUUCCUGCUGAGGUGUGUUCUUUUGCGCGUUCGCUGGCUCCACUUUCGAGUACUAGCGUUCAGCGAUGCUGUCCCUAAUGGUUUCAACCGACCCGUCUUGAAACACGGACCAAGGAGUCUAACAUAUGUGCGAGUAUGCGGGUUGUAACCCUGUAUGCGCAAUGAAAGUGAGAGUAGGGAGAGGUUUGAAUAUUAUUUUGAGCCUCGCACCUACGACCGACCACGAUCUUUGUGAGAGGUUUGAGUUGUAGCACAUCUGUUAGGACCCGAAAGAUGGUGAACUAUGCCUGAGUAGGGUGAAGUCAGGCGAAAGCCUGAUGGAAGCUCGUAGCGAUACUGACGUGCAAAUCGUUCGUCAAACUUGGGGUAUAGGGCGAAAGACUAAUCGAACCGUCUAGUAGCUGGUUUCUUCCGAAGUUUCUCUCAGGAUAGCUGGAGUUCAAUUAGUUUUAUCAGGUAAAGCGAAUGAUUAGAGGCCUCGGGGGCGCGUCGCCCUCGACCUAUUCUCAAACUUUAAAUGGGUAAGAUCCAGUGGUUACUUUAUUGAACUGCUGGGGUUAAUAUGAACUCCAAGUGGGCCAUUUUUGGUAAGCAGAACUGGCGAUGAGGGAUGCUCCUAACGCUUGGUUAAGGUGCCAAAAUACUCGCUCAUCAGAUACCAUAAAAGGUGUUGGUUCAUUUUGACAGCAGGACGGUGGUCAUGGAAGUCGAAAUCCGCUAAGAAGUGUGUAACAACUUACCUGCCGAAUGAACCAGCCCUGAAAAUGGAUGGCGCUGCAGCGGGUUACCGAUACCAGGCCAUUAUCGCAAGUUUUGAGCACUGUACAUGGCGAUAGA
rnacentral:rRNA from 1 species